rnacentral:lncRNA from 10 species
UUCAACUACCCCAAAAAAAUCUCCUGGAAACUACUCUCUGAAAGAAGUUGGAGAAAAAUUAUUAAUGCACUUGAAGAAGAUCAAGAAAAAAGAAAGCGUGAGUAAUGUUUUGGGUGUGACCUCACAAGGCAACUUGCAUUCUUAACUCUGUCUCAGCCCCUGAGAACCCUGAGCUUGUUGGAUAACCCAACCUGCAAAACACAGCUCACAGAUUUCUGAGAAGCCUGAAGAUUCAGGAUCAGGACCAUAGUAAGAUAUGAGUGUCUAGGUAGCAUGACAACAGCCAGAACCACUUCUCAACAAUUGUGUGAUGUGUACACAGCUGCUGCAGUCCUGGACACUCAUCACUGCCACCCAUGACUCUGGAAUUGGGUAUUGCUGUGGACAACAAUACUACUUUGUUCUGGGAAAGAAUGCCCCUUCAUCCUUGCUUCUUUGAGUCACUCAAUGGAGAUUCAAGGUCUUCCGCAUCACCUUGGUGUUCUCACUUGCGGUGUGCCCACUGCACGAGCUUUCUGCUAUUCUACUGCACAUUCACAGCUCACUUGGAAGAAACUUUAGUAAGAUUCUUGGAAUCUUUCUCACAGCAGGAAGAGUCCUAAGAGACCGAGCUACUCCUUUUACAAUAAUUGAGACACAGACCGCUGGCAAAUGAAAUUUGCCCCAAAUUUGGAAGACCAUCUCAUAGGCAUGACAACAAAAGACUCAUGUGUUUGUUUUAACUUGGUGUGGUUUUUUUUAAUUAUGGGGGUAGUUUUAUUUAUUUUCAAAUAUGUAGUAGCUACUUGCAUUACUUUUUAAUAAACCACAUGU